AUUGAACGCUGGCGGCAUGCCUUACACAUGCAAGUCGAACGGCAGCACGGGUGCUUGCACCUGGUGGCGAGUGGCGAACGGGUGAGUAAUACAUCGGAACAUGUCCUGUAGUGGGGGAUAGCCCGGCGAAAGCCGGAUUAAUACCGCAUACGAUCUACGGAUGAAAGCGGGGGACCUUCGGGCCUCGCGCUAUAGGGUUGGCCGAUGGCUGAUUAGCUAGUUGGUGGGGUAAAGGCCUACCAAGGCGACGAUCAGUAGCUGGUCUGAGAGGACGACCAGCCACACUGGGACUGAGACACGGCCCAGACUCCUACGGGAGGCAGCAGUGGGGAAUUUUGGACAAUGGGCGAAAGCCUGAUCCAGCAAUGCCGCGUGUGUGAAGAAGGCCUUCGGGUUGUAAAGCACUUUUGUCCGGAAAGAAAUCCUUGGCUCUAAUACAGUCGGGGGAUGACGGUACCGGAAGAAUAAGCACCGGCUAACUACGUGCCAGCAGCCGCGGUAAUACGUAGGGUGCGAGCGUUAAUCGGAAUUACUGGGCGUAAAGCGUGCGCAGGCGGUUUGCUAAGACCGAUGUGAAAUCCCCGGGCUCAACCUGGGAACUGCAUUGGUGACUGGCAGGCUAGAGUAUGGCAGAGGGGGGUAGAAUUCCACGUGUAGCAGUGAAAUGCGUAGAGAUGUGGAGGAAUACCGAUGGCGAAGGCAGCCCCCUGGGCCAAUACUGACGCUCAUGCACGAAAGCGUGGGGAGCAAACAGGAUUAGAUACCCUGGUAGUCCACGCCCUAAACGAUGUCAACUAGUUGUUGGGGAUUCAUUUCCUUAGUAACGUAGCUAACGCGUGAAGUUGACCGCCUGGGGAGUACGGUCGCAAGAUUAAAACUCAAAGGAAUUGACGGGGACCCGCACAGGCGGUGGAUGAUGUGGAUUAAUUCGAUGCAACGCGAAAAACCUUACCUACCCUUGACAUGGUCGGAAUCCCGCUGAGAGGUGGGAGUGCUCGAAAGAGAACCGGCGCACAGGUGCUGCAUGGCCGUCGUCAGCUCGUGUCGUGAGAUGUUGGGUUAAGUCCCGCAACGAGCGCAACCCUUGUCCUUAGUUGCUACGCAAGAGCACUCUAAGGAGACUGCCGGUGACAAACCGGAGGAAGGUGGGGAUGACGUCAAGUCCUCAUGGCCCUUAUGGGUAGGGCUUCACACGUCAUACAAUGGUCGGAACAGAGGGUUGCCAACCCGCGAGGGGGAGCUAAUCCCAGAAAACCGAUCGUAGUCCGGAUUGCACUCUGCAACUCGAGUGCAUGAAGCUGGAAUCGCUAGUAAUCGCGGAUCAGCAUGCCGCGGUGAAUACGUUCCCGGGUCUUGUACACACCGC
rnacentral:rRNA from 1 species